rnacentral:lncRNA from 1 species
UGUCUGCAGUCCCCACGCUCUCCAAAAUCAAUCUCGGAGAGCAAGGCAGUGUUUUGCUGAGAUUAAGCAGAUUUGCAAAUUAGGAAGAUUAAAUGGAAAUGUAAUGAAAUGAAAAUUAAAUGUCCUUCUAUUUUUUUAUUAUUAUUUUUUAUUUUUAUUAUUUUUUUGAGAGAGACAGAGACAGAGACAGAGAGGAAGGAAGGAAAAAAAAAGGAAAAAUCGCCCUUUCCUGGGAGGUGUCUUUUGAGUGAUCCCCCAAAACGCCUUUCCCGGAGCAGCUCCCUGUCAAACUACACGCGCUCCCGUCCGGAGGGACUGAAAAGUGAUUCAAACUCUCCGGGAAGCACAGACAUUUUUAAUUCCAUCUGAUGCAGCAGCUCGGAAAGCAGCGAGAUCAGCCACCGGGGCUGCAAAGGAGGCUCUCUGCCUCCUCAAAUCCCCCAAAAGCAGAGCGGUUUUACUCAUCAAGGAAACAGCCGAGAAAAAGAAGGAUCGGAGGCACUCACCAGAGCGUAGACCGAGCUCAGCACGGAGCAGCAGAGGAUCAAACCCAGGCUGUGAUAAACCAGAUAUGAUCCCAUAUCCAAGGGGCUCCUUCCAGCAUCCACGCUCUCUCGGGGAAGUUGGAGGACGGAGAGGUCUUCCAGCGCUCCGCUUGCAGAUGAUUUCUCCUUCCCUCCCUCCAACCUCCCCCCCCCUCCACCUCACUCUCCAGAACCGGUGUUUGUUUGUUUGUCUGUUUGUUUGUUUGUUUGUUUUAGCCGGAAAGGCACAUGACGAGAAAGCCCGGUCCUUUGCUUCGCUUUCUCAUGGCUGGAGAUGCGGGCAGCUCCCGAAAGGCAGCGGAGGAGCCCAUGCGAAGAAGCGGAGCGACUUCGGCUUCGCUCAGCGCCGCAGCCCCCGGUGCUGGUUGUUUUCCGCGUGCAUCUGUCUCAGAGCAGAAAAAUCACAUCCAUAUGUCAAAGCCGCGCUCUUCUGUUUCCUUUUUAUGAGGCAGUGGGAAGUUCAAAUAAUUUCUUUGUCAAACGCAAACACACAGAAAGAGGCAGAGAGGGAGGGAGGGAGGGAGAAAGGCGAGAGAGGGGUGGAAGGGGUGGGAGAUCGGAGAGGGUGGGGGAGGCUUUAAACCACGGCUUUAUUUUUAGAUCCAGUAAUUUUAUCUUUUGGGUUUCGGAGGGGUUUGGAAAGAAAGAGAGAGAGGGAAAAAAAAAAAAAAAAGCCUUUUUUUUUCUUUUAAUUCUUUUUCUCCACUUUCGCCACACGAACGGCUCUCAGAGCAGAAAGUUACGGGGAAAAAAAAUAGCGAAAACUUGGAGAUAUUUUCCCUCCUCAUUUACUUUUUCUUCGCAAACAGCGGUGCUUUUGGGGGGGACCUUUUCCUCCUUUUUUUUUUUUUUUUUUUCCUUGCUGGUGUAUCGCCGCGCGUUUCGCCUCCACAAUAGGUUUAUUCUCCAGCCCUCCGGGUCGAAGUGUGUUUCAGUUACAAAUCGGGAUUUUUUCGCUCCUCUCUCCCCUCUCUGCCUCAGAGGAUCUGCAGUUUCAAAAAGCCGAUUGAACACGGCGUGAAAGCGUGAGGCUGACGACUCCCCCGCCUCCUACCGCCACUCUCUCUAGUCCUCGUUCCGUGCCCCGCAAGGAGGAGCCCCCCGCGGAACCCCUGGCGCAUCGCAUCCCCGCUUUCCCCCCCUCAUGUCCCCAGCACCUCGCACCCCUCGUGGAUGUCACCAGCAUCGCAGUUUCAAGGCUGGGGAUGGUGCUCCCAGCUCAGCCGGGCGCUUUCAUUCAUAAAAUGGCAAGAUUGUAUCCAUGAAUGUGUGUAUAAUGAACCCAGAAGGAAUGCAGCACUAAAAGAAGCCUUUGUAAUGUUGCUAUUUUAAGGAGACCCUUGGGUAUGGCACGUGUUGAACUGAGUUUCUCCAACAUCUUACAACAAACCAAAAUGUUUAGAUCCUCCUACUGAUGUAAGACAGCAUAAAAAAAAUACAUAAUCAAUCUAAACUGGCUAAGGUUUUGACCAGGAAUUAUUGCUCCUGUGAAUUGGCUCUGUAUUGUAGCUAACUUUUACACAGCCUAAUAAUAAACAUCUCCUCCUCCCAGCUGGGUGAAUGUUUCCCCUCUGCUGGAGAUCAGGUCCCAGUCUGGAUAAAACACCUCUUGUCCUUUCUCUCCUCGGUCACUCAGGUUCAGUGAAACAUCAUGACUUACAUCAGCCAAAGCCUUUGAUCAGGGAGGGAAAGGUCUGACAUGGAUGGGGUUGGCAGCCACGCUGCAAGAAUCCCUCAUUGUGCAAGAAGCCAGUCCAAUGACCGACUGUCACCAAGGGCUGAUGCUUUGGACCCAGAAAGACACAAGUGGGAUGGAGAUCAGAGCCCUGGGCUUUUCCCCGCAGACCAGCAACUGGUGCCAUUUCUGGCUGAUUCUCUACUUUUCUCUUCCUAGUGAGGGUCUUUUGUUAUUUAUCAGCUCCUUUCAAAGCAACAGCCUGAGAGAUUUCACAAUACUUUUCACAUAUGGUUACUCAGCCUGGGGCUCUCCACAGCUUAGCUGUUUCAGUGAUAUUUGCACAGCACUGAGCAACAGCAUUCCUGACCUGCAGGAGAAGUGAGUGCCUCAAACCUCCUUUUCUCCAUAUACACAAGAUCUUUUUUUGCUCUUAAAAAACCCCAGACCCCUCUCCCCAUCCCUGCCAGUUGCACGGCAGACUGGAUGUCCCUGGCAGCACACUUGGGCUUGCAUCCAUUUUUCUUCUUUGUGUGUGUGUGCGUUGUCAUCCAAUGCAUGGCCAGAACCAAAGGAAAACUCAUGUGUGUGUUGUCAUCCAAUGCAUGGCCAGAACCAAAGGCAAACUCCAUUUGGGAGGUGAGCAAGGAAAACCCCUCCAAAACAGCCAGGAGCUGAAAAGAUUUGGCAAGCUUUGCAGGAGAAAACUGCCAGCAGGGAAAGACGAGGUGGAGGCAUUACUCUGACAGAAGAAGCUCUGAUUAGCAGAUUAUCACUUAAGUGAUGUUGAUCCCAGCCACGCUGCCUUCCAAAUGAGCCCUUUCACAGCUGCCAGCUGCACCACGGAGUCGUGAAUGUAAAUGAGUGGGCCAGAUCCUCUGCUGGCAUCCAUCGACGUGGCUUUGAUGGACCAUCCUGGAUCUACAACAGCCGGAGGAGUGUGGCUGUCGUGGGAGCCUGACUUGCUAUGCAGAUUUCUUUGAGAGCCUGUGGGAAAGGGCCUGAAGCUGGAUGUACUGCAGGAUAGGGCAGCAUCAACUGCACAGCUGGAGGGACCCUUGAGACUUUGACUUUUGCUGCCAAACAAAGCCAUCUUUUUGCUGAGCUUGUAAACUGUUCCCUGGUACCGUACGCCAGCAUAUAGCAUCCUGCCCUCAUAAAGCUCUACUUAUCUCCAUCCAACUUCUUGGGCUGAGCGUGUGGGAAGCAUGUGAGGGACACUCAUGAGCAGCCUUGCAUUCUCCGAGCUGUGCUUUCCCCUGGGGGUGAGCAUUCCCCUAAGUGCACAGUCCAUUUCAGCUCUGAUAAGUCUUCAGAGGUGAUGGCCUGGAACCUGCAGAGCUGGUGGUGAGGUGGGAACAAGCUCUCUUUGUGAGGCUGCACCAGCUUGCUGGGUGUGCUGGGUGCACUGAAUGAAAUCUUUCAUUUGGUUCCUCAGAGAGUCUAGGAAGAUCCUCAGCUUUUGUCCUGAAUGGGAUUGUAGCCCAGUCCAGGGAAAGAUCACAAAUACCAAGGCUUAGGUUAUUGGAUUGAAUCUUGCUUUGUUAGUGCAACCAUGCUGUGGACUUGGACUUUCAGCCAAGGAAAGAGAGUGCUGCAGAGGCGUGAUCGAAAAGAGGAGGUGGAUCUGUAAAAAUGAUGAUGAGAGUAAUGGGGAAUGGUUAUUGGGUGCCUCUCCUAGUAAAGACAUUGGGAACACAAGACUGAAAUUUUUGGGACAGGUGAAGUGCAAACAAAAAGAGGUGGUUUUUUUUCGUUUGUUUGUUUGGUUUUUUUUUAAUAAUGGUUGUUCCAUAAGUAAUGCCUCCUAUUUUAUUAUGUUGACCUACAACGUCAGAGGUGGAUGUUGGUAGUAUGGUAGUAGAGGUUAAACCUUCCCACCAACAUCCCAUUACAUUUUGUUGCCACGUGACAGAUAGCAGUAGAAGGGUAUUGACAAAAUGAUGUCUGACACAGAAGUGCAUAUGAAGCAAAAGUGUGUCACUGAAUUCCCUCAUGUGGAAAAAAUGGCACUCACUGACAUUCAUUGAUGCUUGCUGAAUGUUUAUAGAGACCAAACAAGUGUGAGCACAGUGAGGCACUGAUGACAGCAACGUGAAAGACAAGCCACAUUCUAGACAUCCAUGCAGAUUUCACAAGUUGGCAUGCAGUCUCUUGUUCAUUGCUGGCAAAAAUUCAUUGAUAUUGGUAGUGGCUAAGUUGAAGAAUAGAGCUUUGUAGCUGAGAAUUUGCUCUAUCAAAUACUUCUAUUGUGCUCCUUGUAUCUGUUGUAGUUUCCAUGGAAAUAAAUGGGAGGCAUUACUUUCAGAGUCAUCUACAUAUAUUGAGAAGGUGAUUUUCUAUUCUCACAGAAGGCAUACUUGACCUCUGGCCACGUCCAUCCAAUCUGACAGACUGGUCUUCGGAGAAUGGUGACCAAGAAUAAGCUCCAUGUCCCACAUGCCACCUGUUCAUCUGCACCGCUCCCUCUCCAGCAGCUCAUGGGCCAUGCCCAGCCUAUGUGUGACACCUCUCUGGCUGCUCAGAUGGAAAGUAAGAGCUUGGAGAGUGAGGACAGCAUGGAGUUAUGGAAGACAUGGCUACAAGAGCAUUCUUUCUCCAUCUCCAUGUGCUUCUGAAGGACCAGUCUGAUUCUGGCUCCUGCCAAGUUAGGAUAUGCUAUGAUUCUGUGAACACUUUUUGCAGCAAGUCAGCCAUAAGAAACAACAUACUCUCAGACAAUCAAGCCUCCAAAUUAAGGUGGGGAGACUUGUUGUGAAGGAGAUGGUUUUUUUUUUCCUACUGUAGAAGGGAUGUUCAAUGCUAUAGUGACAAGGAACAAUUCUUCAGCCUUAGACAGCAGAAAGAAGAAACAUAAAGAGACUGUACAGUUCUUGGGACACCGAGACAACUAUCUACGUGCUUUGUGGAAGCAGAGACAAGUAUGAGAUUUGGCUUUCUGGGCUAUGAGGGCACACAGCUGGCUCACAUCCAGCUCCCAUCCACCAUUUAGAUAAGAUACUAUUGCUUUUAAUAAAGACAAGUCAAAGAUCUUCUCCUAAGUGCUCUUAAAGAACUCCAGCAUUGUGUCUACAAUAAUCCAUCCGCCUUAAAGGAUCCAGCAGUACAUCACCACCAGUGGAUAUAAGAAGUAAUUAGUCAUCAUUUAGGGAAGUAAGAUUUAACAGUUAUUUUGUUGGCAGAAGUGCCGUGAUAAAAAUGGUACUCUGAAAGUUAUUUGGUAUUUCUCAUUGUUGCCAGAGUUCUGAACAUUUUGAUAGGAUGAACAUAGACUUCGGUAGGAAAGUUGUGGAUUUUUUCCCCUCCAUUUAGUAGAAAUAUAAAUGUUACAAAAUAAAUAAUGAUAGAAUAUAUGUGUAUAUAUUUUCAAUGCAUAUUUUAAAAUGCAUAUGAAAUGCAUUUUUUAAAAUAUUUUGUUCAAAUAUUUUUACUAAUGUUGUAUACCUUGCAUCUGUGAAGAGGGUUAUCCCUUAAACAUCCUUUCUUCAGACAGUACUGGGAUUCAUCCUCAGGCCCCGUUAUCUUGCUCUACGUUUCCUAGAGUCCAUCUAUAUAAUAAAUCAGAAUACUGCAUGGUUACACAUCGUAAUUAUUUUUUAAAAUUAUUUUUUAUUUUUUUGCUGAUUGGGGAAAUGGUGAAAACUGGUUUUUGCAUAUUUCAACAAUGUUACUCAGCCAAGUAAAAGAACAAGGGAGCAGAAUGGAAGAGAAAUGAAGAAAUGGAAGGAAGGAAGGAAGGAAGGAAGGAAGGAAGGAAGGAAGGAAGGAAGGAAGGAAGGAGGGAAGGAGGGAAGGAGGGAAGGAAGGAA